rnacentral:ncRNA from 2 species
ACCAACCGACGGGGAGUUCGUGGAACGACGAGCUGAGAGGGUGACACGCUGUCACCGACCCGAGAACCUGAUCCGGAUCAUGCCGGCGUAGGAAGUCGAGAAGCACGUGAA